rnacentral:rRNA from 1 species
UACCUGCAGCUCAAGUGGUGGCCGCUAUUAUUGGGCCUAAAACGUUCGUAGCCGGUUUGGUAAAUGCCUGGGUAAAUUGUGUAGCUUAACUAUACAAAUUCCGGGUAGACUGCCAAACUUGAAACCGGGAGAAGCUAGAGGUACUCCUGGGGUAGAGGUGAAAUUCUGUAAUCCUGGGGGGACCACCAGUGGCGAAGGCGUCUAGCUAGAACGGGUUUGACGGUGAGGAACGAAGCCCUGGGGCGCAAAACCGGAUUAGAUACCCGGGUAGUCCAGGGUGUAAACGCUGCUUGCUUGAUGUUAGUUGGGCUCCGAGCCCAAUUAGUGUCGGAGAGAAGUUGUUAAGCAAGCUGCCUGGGAAGUACGAUCGCAAGAUUGAAACUUAAAGGAAUUGGCGGGGGAGCGACAGCAACGGGUGGAGCGUGCGGUUU